UUUGAAUCAUGGCUCAGAUUGAACGCUGGCGGCAGGCCUAACACAUGCAAGUCGAGCGGUAGAGAGGUGCUUGCACCUCUUGAGAGCGGCGGACGGGUGAGUAAUGCCUAGGAAUCUGCCUGGUAGUGGGGGAUAACGCUCGGAAACGGACGCUAAUACCGCAUACGUCCUACGGGAGAAAGCAGGGGACCUUCGGGCCUUGCGCUAUCAGAUGAGCCUAGGUCGGAUUAGCUAGUUGGUGAGGUAAUGGCUCACCAAGGCGACGAUCCGUAACUGGUCUGAGAGGAUGAUCAGUCACACUGGAACUGAGACACGGUCCAGACUCCUACGGGAGGCAGCAGUGGGGAAUAUUGGACAAUGGGCGAAAGCCUGAUCCAGCCAUGCCGCGUGUGUGAAGAAGGUCUUCGGAUUGUAAAGCACUUUAAGUUGGGAGGAAGGGCAUUAACCUAAUACGUUAGUGUUUUGACGUUACCGACAGAAUAAGC
rnacentral:rRNA from 1 species